AUCGAGAUCAAAAUCAAACUCAAAAAUUGAUCUUGCGAUCAACUCAUUUUACGAUGAGUUUGAUCGCGAUCAAACUCAAAAUUUUUGAUCCAACUCAAACUCAAUUUUGCAAUCAACAUUUCUGACUGCACGCCAUCUACUGAUAGGAAAAACAAUUAAGUGCCAAGAAAUUGAAGUCAUAGACUAGUGAAAGUGUCAACUGUAAAGUCAUUCGAGUGUCACCCGAUCAAGGUUUUUUGAAAACAGUCUAAGAAUUACUAUGUCGGAGGCGGAUGAUGAUUGCGAUUUUGAUGAGAAUGCAGAUCCAAACACGAGUCAUGUUUCACAAAGGUGACAAAGCAAUACUAGCACCAAUUCUAAUCCUGUAAAGAAAUUAGCUAUACCUGAUGAAUUCUUCACAUGGGUAGGAGACGUGCCUGGCAAAAAUGCCAGUGUAUAUCGGUGUCUACAUCCAGGCUGCGUCCCAAAAA